AGAGUUUGAUCCUGGCUCAGAACGAACGCUGGCGGCAGGCUUAACACAUGCAAGUCGAACGAUGUAGCAAUACAUAGUGGCGCACGGGUGAGUAACGCGUGGGAAUAUACCUUAUAGUGGGGAAUAACUUUGGGAAACUAAAGCUAAUACCGCAUAUGCCCGAGAGGGGAAAGAUUUAUCGCUAUAAGAUUAGCCCGCGUGAGAUUAGGUAGUUGGUGGGGUAAUGGCCUACCAAGCCUACGAUCUCUAGCUGGUCUGAGAGGAUGAUCAGCCACACUGGAACUGAGACACGGUCCAGACUCCUACGGGAGGCAGCAGUGGGGAAUAUUGGGCAAUGGAGGAAACUCUGACCCAGCCAUGCCGCGUGAAUGAUGAAGGCCUUAGGGUUGUAAAGUUCUUUCGCCGAUGAAGAUAAUGACGGUAGUCGGAGAAGAAGCCCCGGCUAACUUCGUGCCAGCAGCCGCGGUAAUACGAAGGGGGCUAGCGUUGUUCGGAAUUACUGGGCGUAAAGCGAGCGUAGGUUGCUCGAUAAGUCAGUGGUGAAAGCCCAGAGCUCAACUCUGGAACUGCCAUUGAAACUGUCGAGCUGGAAUCUCAGAGGGGGUAGCGGAAUUCCAAAUGUAGGGGUGAAAUCCGUAGAUAUUUGGAGGAACACCGGUGGCGAAGGCGGCUACCUGGAUGAGUAUUGACACUGAGGCUCGAAAGCGUGGGGAUCAAACAGGAUUAGAUACCCUGGUAGUCCAA
rnacentral:rRNA from 1 species